rnacentral:rRNA from 1 species
CCUACGGGUGGCUGCAGUGGGGAAUAUUGCACAAUGGGGGAAACCCUGAUGCAGCGACGCCGCGUGAGUGAAGAAGUACUUCGGUAUGUAAAGCUCUAUCAGCAGGGAAGUUAAUGACGGUAUCUGAGUAAGAAGCCACGGCUCACUACGUGCCAGCAGCCGCGGUACUACGUAGGGGGCAAGCGUUAUCCGGAUUUACUGGGUGUAAAGGGAGCGUAGACGGCAUGUCAAGUCUGUAGUGAAAGCCCGGGGCUCAACCGCGGGACUGCUUUGGAAACUGUUAAGCUGGAGUGCAGGAGAGGUAAGUGGAAUUCGUAGUGUAGCGGUGAAAUGCGUAGAUAUUAGGAGGAACACCAGUGGCGAAGGCAGCUUACUGGACUGUAACUGACGUUGAUGCUCGAAAGCGUGGGGAUCAAACAGGAUUAGAUACCCUGGUAGUC